UACGUAGGGUGCAAGCGUUGUCCGGAAUCAUUGGGCGUAAAGCGCGCGUAGGUGGCUUCGUAAGUCCGUUGUGAAAGUCAAAGGCUCAACCUUUGAAAGCCGAUGGAUACUGUCGGGCUAGAGUGCGGGAGAGGCGAGUGGAAUUCCUGGUGUAGCGGUGAAAUGCGCAGAUAUCAGGAGGAACACCGGUGGCGAAGGCGGGUCUCUGGGCCGAUGACUGACGCUGAGGAGCGAAAGCGUGGGGAGCGAACAGG
rnacentral:rRNA from 1 species